rnacentral:rRNA from 1 species
AACGAACGCUGGCGGCAUGCUUAACACAUGCAAGUUGAACGCAGAAUAGGGCUUCGGCUCUAUUGCUGAGUAGCAAACGGGUGAGUAACGCGUGGGAAUCUACCUUCUUGUGGGGGAUAACUAAGGGAAACAUUAGCUAAUACCGCAUACGCUCUACGGAGGAAAGGCUUCGGCCGCAAGAAGAGGAGCCCGCGUCAGAUUAGGUAGUUGGUGGGGUAAAGGCCUACCAAGCCAAUGAUCUGUAGCUGGUCUGAGAGGUUGAUCAGCCACACUGGGACUGAGACACGGCCAAGAAUCCUACGGGAGGCAGCAGUGGGGAAUAUUGGACAAUGGGGGAAACCCUGAUCCAGCAAGGCCGCGUGAAUGAAGAAGGCCUUAGGGUUGUAAAGUUCUUUCACCUGUGAAGAUAAUGACGGUAGCAGGAGAAGAAGCCCCGGCUAACUCCGUGCCAGCAGCCGCCGUAA